CAGACCAAUGAUGAGAAUGUGUCCUGAAACAGGGAUUAUUACUGAUUUAAUUCUGUGCUCCUGAAGUUUAUU
rnacentral:snoRNA from 10 species